rnacentral:rRNA from 1 species
UCGAGCGGACAGAUGGGAGCUUGCUCCCUGAUGUUAGCGGCGGACGGGUGAGUAACACGUGGGUAACCUGCCUGUAAGACUGGGAUAACUCCGGGAAACCGGGGCUAAUACCGGAUGGUUGUUUGAACCGCAUGGUUCAAACAUAAAAGGUGGCUUCGGCUACCACUUACAGAUGGACCCGCGGCGCAUUAGCUAGUUGGUGAGGUAACGGCUCACCAAGGCAACGAUGCGUAGCCGACCUGAGAGGGUGAUCGGCCACACUGGGACUGAGACACGGCCCAGACUCCUACGGGAGGCAGCAGUAGGGAAUCUUCCGCAAUGGACGAAAGUCUGACGGAGCAACGCCGCGUGAGUGAUGAAGGUUUUCGGAUCGUAAAGCUCUGUUGUUAGGGAAGAACAAGUACCGUUCGAAUAGGGCGGUACCUUGACGGUACCUAACCAGAAAGCCACGGCUAACUACGUGCCAGCAGCCGCGGUAAUACGUAGGUGGCAAGCGUUGUCCGGAAUUAUUGGGCGUAAAGGGCUCGCAGGCGGUUUCUUAAGUCUGAUGUGAAAGCCCCCGGCUCAACCGGGGAGGGUCAUUGGAAACUGGGGAACUUGAGUGCAGAAGAGGAGAGUGGAAUUCCACGUGUAGCGGUGAAAUGCGUAGAGAUGUGGAGGAACACCAGUGGCGAAGGCGACUCUCUGGUC